rnacentral:rRNA from 1 species
GGCUACCAUGCAGUCGAGCGGAGCGAGGGUGCUUGCACCUUAGCUUAGCGGCGGACGGGUGAGUAAUGCUUAGGAAUCUGCCUAUUAGUGGGGGACAACAUUCCGAAAGGGAUGCUAAUACCGCAUACGCCCUACGGGGGAAAGCAGGGGAUCUUCGGACCUUGCGCUAAUAGAUGAGCCUAAGUCGGAUUAGCUAGUUGGUGGGGUAAAGGCCUACCAAGGCGACGAUCUGUAGCGGGUCUGAGAGGAUGAUCCGCCACACUGGGACUGAGACACGGCCCAUACUCCUACGGGAGGCACCCCUGGGGAAUAUUGAACAAUGGGUGGAACCCUGGUCCC